rnacentral:rRNA from 1 species
GAUGAACGCUGGCGGCGUGCCUAAUACAUGCAAGUCGAGCGAACAGAUGAGGAGCUUGCUCCUCUGACGUUAGCGGCGGACGGGUGAGUAACACGUGGAUAACCUACCUAUAAGACUUGGAUAACUUCGGGAAACCGGAGCUAAUACCGGAUAAUAUAUUGAACCGCAUGGUUCAAUAGUGAAAGACGGUUUUGCUGUCACUUAUAGAUGGAUCCGCGCCGCAUUAGCUAGUUGGUAAGGUAACGGCUUACCAAGGCGACGAUGCGUAGCCGACCUGAGAGGGUGAUCGGCCACACUGGAACUGAGACACGGUCCAGACUCCUACGGGAGGCAGCAGUAGGGAAUCUUCCGCAAUGGGCGAAAGCCUGACGGAGCAACGCCGCGUGAGUGAUGAAGGUCUUCGGAUCGUAAAACUCUGUUAUUAGGGAAGAACAAAUGUGUAAGUAACUAUGCACGUCUUGACGGUACCUAAUCAGAAAGCCACGGCUAACUACGUG